CCAGAGGCCGUUUGUCCAAGUCACGUGAUCGUCGAAUCUGUUGACCUGGCGCCACCGGAAAAAGAAAUUCCCGGGCCCUGGCUUCUUGGCCUGAUGGUGCUAAAGUGGAGGGCCUCCCAUGGGGUGUUCAGCCUGGGUGUGUAGAAGCACACAGUGUGGUACAGAGGACCCUCUCCAGACAGGUGACCCCUCAUGCUGCUGCUCCCUCUGCUGAAACCCAAACUGCAAACCUCUCCUCUCCCUGCCUUCACCUUGCCCCACGGCUUCCACAGACAGUGCCUCAACCCCGAGGAAUGAAUCCGAAGUUCCAACACCACUGACUUUCCCAGGAACUCAGAGCCAGAGAGGGCCAAGGACCAGCUCGAGGACACACAGCCAGGGCUUCUUCCCUCCGAAACCCCCAAGGACUGGACUUGCAGGGCUGGGACAGAGGUGGGGUGGGGGAAAGCAAUGCCUUGUCAACCCACGUGGGGAGCCCCACUCCCAUCCCCAAGGUGCAUAAAGUUGAGGAACACCCCUG
rnacentral:lncRNA from 1 species